rnacentral:rRNA from 1 species
UACGUAGGGGGCAAGCGUUGUCCGGAAUCAUUGGGCGUAAAGCGCGUGUAGGCGGCCUUGUAAGUCCGUUCUGAAAGUCCGAGGCUCAACCUCGGGAGGCGGAUGGAUACUGCAAGGCUCGAGUCCGGAAGAGGCGAGUGGAAUUCCCGGUGUAGCGGUGAAAUGCGCAGAUAUCGGGAGGAACACCGGUGGCGAAGGCGGCUACCUGGGCCAGUUCUGACGCUGAGGCGCGAAAGCGUGGGGAGCAAACAGG